rnacentral:lncRNA from 1 species
CCCAUCAAAAUAAUAAUAACUCCCCACUAAAAUACUGAUAUGGAUAAAUUAUAGCAUGCCCUAAAAUCUUCUUCUUAGAAUACCAUCGUUCCUUUGGGCCACCAUUUUUCUUCCUUGCCCAUUAUUCUUCUUCCUUACCUUUAGUAGAAGGAUGUUCACUCAUUCAAGUCUCUUCGAAUCGCCUCAUUAGCUGGUAUAUGAAAAAUUUAAUG